UACGGAGGGUGCAAGCGUUGUUCGGAUUUAUUGGGCGUAAAGGGCGUGUAGGCGGUUCGUUAAGUCUGAUGUGAAAGCCCCGGGCUCAACCCGGGAAGUGCAUUGGAAACUGGCGAACUUGAGUACGGGAGAGGGCAGUGGAAUUCCUAGUGUAGGAGUGAAAUCCGUAGAUAUUAGGAGGAACACCGGUGGCGAAGGCGGCUGCCUGGACCGAUACUGACGCUGAGGCGCGAAAGCGUGGGGAGCAAACGGG
rnacentral:rRNA from 1 species